GCCGAGUUGGCGGAACUGGCAGACGCGACGGUCUCAAAAACCGUUGUCCGAAAGGACGUGUGGGUUCGAGUCCCACACUCGGCACCAUCU
rnacentral:tRNA from 1 species